GUCUGAUUGUUUUCCGUUGUCAAACUCAAACAUCUCAAUAGCAUUUCCACAUCUUAGCGCUACUUUGUUUUCGACGUGACAAGGACCAAUCAUUUCCCAAGCCGCCUUUUCAUUCACUUUAAUCUCAUCCUCCAUAGCGAGACCCUACUACACGGCCAUGUAUUGUUUUUUGAAACUCUAUCCAUGAUCGUGUAGUAGAGUCUCAUUAGGGGGAUGUGAUUGAAGUGGAUGAGAGGUCGCCUU